AAGUCGUAACAAGGUCUCCGUUGGUGAACCAGCGGAGGGAUCAUUACUGAGUUAUCUAACUCCAAACCCAUGUGAACAUACCUAUCGUUGCCUCGGUGGGAACAACCUACCCGGGACCUACCCGGUAGCUACCCGGUAGCUGAGGUUGCCUCCGCCGGUGGACUACUAAACUCUUGUUUUUAUGUGGCACUUCUGAGUACACUUUUAAAAUAAGUCAAAACUUUCAACAACGGAUCUCUUGGUUCUG
rnacentral:misc_RNA from 1 species